UUAUUAUGUGAUGAUUUAUAUACCGCCCCAGUCUGAAAGUCUGAUGAUGAUUGAUUCUGAAUUC
rnacentral:snoRNA from 1 species